UACAUAGGGUGCAAGCGUUAUCCGGAAUUAUUGGGCGUAAAGCGUUUUAAGGCGGUCCAGCCAGUUUGCGGUUAAAUCCGAUCGCUCAACGAUCGACUUGUCGCAAAUACUACUGGGCUAGAGAGAGGCAGAGGUCACUGGAAUUCCGCAUGUAGGGGUAAAAUCCGUUGAUAUGCGGAGGAACACCAAAAGCGAAGGCAGGUGACUGGGCCUUUUCUGACGCUCAUAAACGAAAGCGUGGGGAGCAAACAGGAUUAGAUA
rnacentral:rRNA from 1 species